AUGUAGAGUGCUAAAGGGGUCUUCUUUUCUUUUACGCUGGAACCGAGAAGAAGAAUUGAUUUUCUUCAACUGCAAAGAAGUGACACAUUUCUCAUUUAUUCUGCUUUACUUUUUAAGUGUUGAAUUUAGUGAUGAAUGUGCCUGAAAGCUGCUGCAUUGUUCAAUUCAAUUUUAGCUAAGCCUUGUUUCUUUACUUUCACUAAAUGUUCAUUUUUAAUUAUUAGAUAACGUUGUCUCUUUUAUUCCAAG
rnacentral:lncRNA from 1 species